rnacentral:rRNA from 1 species
UACGGAGGGUGCAAGCGUUGUUCGGAAUUACUGGGCGUAAAGCGUACGUAGGCGGUUUGUUAAGUCGAAUGUUAAAGACCGGAGCUCAACUCCGUGUUCGCAUUCGAUACUGGCAGACUAGAGGUUGAUAGAGGAGAACAGAAUUCCCAGUGUAGCGGUGAAAUGCGUAGAUAUUGGGAGGAAUACCAGUAGCGAAAGCGGUUCUCUGGGUCACACCUGACGCUGAGGUACGAAAGCAUGGGUAGCAAACGGG